rnacentral:lncRNA from 1 species
CUGACUUUUUUCUCAGAAUUGUGAGUUUAUAUUUUGUGAUUUUCACUUUGUAUCUUGCAAUUACAUUUUUUUCUCUGAUUUUUUUUUUAAAGUCAGAAUUGUGAUAAAAACUUGCAAUUAUUAUUAUUUUUUUUCCUGUAACGGAAAAAAUCUUUCAUAGAAUUGCGAGAUGUAAACUCAGAAUAAAAAGGUCCAGAAUUGCAAGAUAUUAACUGGGGGAAAAAUCUGAAUUUUGAGAUGCAAAUUUAGAAUGUAGAAACAUAUCAAUUAUAAGAAAGAAAUUCAGAAAUGUGAGAUGGAAAAAGUUGCAGUUAGCUUUUUUUUUUUUAAAUCCUUUAUUACAAGUUUCCAUAGAUCUGUGAGAUUGUUCCAUAGAAUAAACUCAAAGUUUAUAACUUGCAAUUGUGAGAUAUGAAUUCACAAUUGGGACAAAAUAAGUCAGAAUUGUGAGAUAAAAAAGUCGCAAUUACCUUUUUAUUUUUUUAGUCGGUGGUGGAAACAGACUUCCAUUGAAUUGUGAGCUAUGAACUAAGAAUUCAGAGAAACAAGUUCACACACACUCACUAACUCACACACACUCACUCACUCACACACACACACACACACACACACACACACACACACACACACACACACUCCAACACGAGGAUCAUCAUCAUCAUCCUCGUGCGUUUGAGCGUUGCACUGUAUGCAGAUCCUGCUUGCAGUGAAUAAAGCUAAUCGCAAGCUAUUAAUAUUUAUUUAACACACUGGAUUCGAGAGUUUUUAAAAGGUCAGAGACACAGUCCAUGUUAGGAUGCUUUAUUAAAUUGUAUAUUGAUAAAUAUCUUUAGGUUUUGUUCGGUUCUUCACUGGAGUCUGUGGAGUUAGUGGUGCUGCAAAGGGACAAAUCUGUGUUUUACAAUGUCAGAAAUACAAACAAAGACUUGCCUCGAUUGAAAAGACAAUAUCUGAACUGUUUUUCCUUGGAAUUCUUCUAUUAUGCUCUUUGUUUUUUAGAUUUAUUUGACCAAAACACUCCAGGCGUCUCUCAGGACAGAUGGAUGUUCACGUUUAUCUCCCACUACCUGCUAAAAACUCGCCGAUUUGAGGAGAAUCUUCUUUUCAUGUUGAUUCAUGUUUUAUUUUUCUGUGUUUCAGACGCUGCUGUAACCACUGCUUCUCUCAAUCCAGCGAACACGUCAUCAUCCUAAAGGUGUGUUGGUAAUUAAUGCUUAACUAAUAAUGGG